GGGCCCGUGCCUGAAUGCCUAAGGAACACCUUGAUAGGGUGAACUAUGGGGGUUAAAAUCCUCCCAGGCCCU
rnacentral:tRNA from 1 species